UUAAUUAAGUAAAUAAAGAAAAAAUAAAAAGUGGUGGGGUGACAUCUCUAGUUCAAUCUCUCUCCUCACCCACCAUCUCAAUCUUUCUUCAUUUACGGUGGCUACCUCCACGCCAAGAAGCCGCCGCCGUAUUCCAGACGUCGCCGCUGCCCACUUCUCAUUUCUUGUUCAGCCUCGUCAGCUCUCUCUGCGUGGAUGAGAUGCCGGUGGAGCUGCUCGUCGAGGCUCUUCAGAUCUAUCUGAUCCGCCCUCACGAAUCCGCCGCCAGAGUGGACGUCUCCCUCCACCAUUUCUCCGGAAAGCGCAGAUGCAAUGUCAGUGGAGCUUACGGUGGGAACGCGCAAUAAGCGACGACCUUCAACAGCGAAAAGUUAAUCGGAAUCCCUUUCAAAAUUCUCUUUCUCAUUAAUUUUCUACAGGAUUCUCAAAAAUUGGUCAAAACCCUAACAGAUCUGAGGCAAAAAUUCUCUUCCUCGUCAGAUUUUUGACAAAUGCCCCAAAACAUUGAGAAAACGGUUGAGAAAUCGAAGGGAUUCAUGCAGCUGUUCAAAUUUCUAAAUGAAAAGGAAAUGAUCCCAAUAGAUUGUAAAUAGAAGUGACAAAAAGGCAAAUCAUUGAACAGAAAUUGUAAAAUGAGGUCAGUGCCUUUUUAUGAGAAUAAAACCGAUCACUUAAAUUGAAUAAGACUGUGUAUUAAGUUCAGAAAAGGAACAAAUAAUUUCAUUCAUUAGUUGUAGGAACUUCGCGAACCAAAAUAUGAAUGAGAGAUAGCACUCAAGAUUUCAAAGAUAAGGUGCAUCACAACAAUGACAAAUACAGGUUAGAAAACUACCUUCGUAGUGUUGUGCUAAGUAGUUAUAGAAAUUUAAAAAAACAUAAGUAACAUUAAGACAUAAUAUGAAACUAAAACAGAAAAAAUAGUGAUAUAGCAGAAACUGAAAGAAAUACAUUAAGAAUAAAGACUGCAGACUCAUAGAAGAAUAGAUAAACAAUAAAUAGGCUGUGAUUUAAGAAAAAAUAGAUGAAUUAAGAAGAAAGAUUCUAAACUAUUUCAGAUGAUGAUUCUGCUGAAUGAUUUUGGUUGAGAGAGUUUAGUGAGAGUGACUGAAGGAGUGAGUGGCAAGGGUAUUUAUAGUCUCACCUCUUCAGCAUGCUUAUUGGAAAAUUGUGCAUGUUCCCAAAAAAAAAUAAAAUCAUGAGAGACCUUCCACAUAAGAACUAUUUUUUAUUUAUACAAAAUAUCUGAUAAUAAUAUUCAGACUUAAAAUACUUUAACAACUUGCAUGCCAAAUAUUUACAAAGUCUUUUACACUUAUAUUCAUAUUCAUAUUAAUAUUAAUUAUUAAUUAAUAUUAAUAUGAAUAUAAGUUAAAUAUUACAAAUUCAUGUCUCAUAAAUUCGGCCCAUUUAAUUUCAUAAGUUUGCAACCAUAUAAAUCAUUUAAAGCCCAAUUCAUUUCAACAAUUAUUAACUUCACUUGUAUUAUAUAUAGUAUAAGUGACUUAUUGAGUUAAAAAAAAACUAACCCUAAAAAUAUAAUAGCUGCCUCUCACUCUCCACUAUUCAGAAAAAAUGAAAUAGAAAGGAAAAGAAAAGCGGCAUCUUUCUCUUCACUCUACAAUCAUUAUAGAGAGAAGAUAACAUUGCAAGCAUGGGCGGCUACAACACCUACUCUACUCCAUAAGGAUAUCAAGAUAUUAAAAAAAGGGAUUAAUUGCGUUGGGAAGAGAUGAAAAGAUAUUCUGGAAGAAUAGAAUAUACAAUAUACAUAUAUUGUGUAAUAUAAUAGUAUUUCUUUUACAAAAGUCUAUGCAAGUAUAAAACACAUAGGCUGCAUCCUACCCCCACACAAUUCUUGGUACAUACAAAGUGAUAUAAGCUUUACUUUUAA